GGGAAGGAGACGGAGCUCCCGUAAGGGGACGGCGGCGAGCGCUCGCCGUCUGAGGUGGCUGCCCCUCCGUACGCAGUUUCGCGCCCCUCUGCGCGCUACCCGCGGAGCCGGCGCUCGGGGACCCCGCACAGCCCACCCGAGCGCAGCCCUGCCCGUGUUAUGUGAUCCUGUGGCAACUGCUCCAGCGGCAGAGCUGCCCCCCGGGACCCCACUGCUCGCUUGAUCGCAAUGGGAAUGUAGAAGAAAAUACCAAUACGGAGAAUCCUUCUGAAGGACAGAGAGGUUGAGGCAAUCCCAGCCCCCACUGUGCUUUCUCAGUUUAUUUUUGUUUGCAAGGAAGUGCUCCCUGAGCUCAGCGGCAACCCAAGCAGGGAAGCCAAACAGCAAAGCUCAGUGCAAAGGGAUCCACUCGAGCUACCGAGUCAUGCAGCUGCUAUUAAUACACCUCGCCCUCUGGCUCUCUGAUAAGGAGAGGUUGGGGGAAGAACUAUGAGGAAUUUUCAAUUAAAAGCUGCUUCAAAAAGAAUAAAAAGAAUAUUCUAGGGUGAAUUGGAGGUGGGAAGAAGGGGAAGAGGAGGAAAGCAGCCUGGAAAACAAGGAAUAAUCUCCCAGAGAAUUUGUGGGAGCCUCACUGAUGAAAAAUUCUUAAAUUUUUAAAAAAAAAUUUAAAGAACAUUCUGAGAAGGCAAAUGACCACAUAAUACAAACUAUUAUAAAAUUAAUUAUUGACAAAGGUUUGAACAUAAUUACUUUUUCUGGAGACAUUUACUUUAAUUUGUGAUAGUUUUAUGCAUUUUUGGUAUAUUUCAAACAGGCAUUUAUCUUAAGGGUCAUCAUCACAGAAUCUGAACAUUGGUCAGUUAAAAGUAUGUUCCAGUUUCUCACGUGGGCUAAAAUUUCAUUUCCAUCUUUGUACUGUUUUGCUCCAAGGAAGAAGUGACAGUGGCUAAUUCUUUAUUGCCUCUGUUGUUCUUCAUUGUGAAGAACAUCCUCGUGUGAAGCAAUAUUUUGCAGUACAUUAAACUUCUGGGGCAUCUUGCAGCAUCUGCAGAUACACAGUUUCACGGACCAGCCACCAUUAGUAUGCAUUGUACUGUUCCCUGUUCAGAUGGCCUUUACCUGCAGGUCAGAGCAAGGGAAAUGAAACAAAACACAGAAAAACAAACGCUGUUUCUUUCAGUCACUUAUAAAUUGACUAUGAUUCACUGCAGGGCACAGAUAAAAUGUGUUUACUUUAGUUGGCUGAAUUAAAGGCUUGCUUUCUUCUCAAAUAGUCCAUUCUGAACUGGCUCAAAUAUAGGAUUAUUGCACUAGGGCUCAGUUUCAUUACUGGUGUUGAUAGCAUGUGAAAGCCAGUUCCUUUCAGUUUGUGCAUUAUCACUGCAGGAUAUGCUUUAUCUCUUAUCCUGUUACAUGAAGAAUAUUAUUGCUCAGAAAUGUCAAGGUAAAUAAUAGUCUUAUCUUCCUUGUCAACAGUAUAAUGUGGUUUUCUUCUCACCUUGCUCCCUUAACAAGGUGUAAAAUUGCAGUUUGUCUGAUAAAACAGGGCAGUAAAAACAGAAGUGUAGUUAGAGAUCGUAUUCUUUGUAGCCGUGAAACUGAAACUACAGAAAGAAGUAGAGGCAAUAAAGAGAGCUUUCAGAUACCCCUAGCAACUUAAAUUACACAGUUCUUUAAGAGGUAGGUUAUAAAGAUAAAGCUAAUGAUAAGAAUGCCGUAACUACAAGACAUAAAAGUUUAUCUUCCAGCAGUAGUGCCAAAUCCCAGCUCUUCCUGAAGAAACAGAUUUUAAACUUCUUGUUGCCUGAUCUGAGAAAUCAAUCCUGGAAUCCUUUUAGAAAGUAAAGAUUUUAGGGCCAGGGUUUCUCUUCUUCAGUGCACCUGCAAAAGCAUAAAGCAUCAGUCAAUGAAUAGCCAGUCGUGUGUUAGAGUCUACUUUUAUUAAAUCCAAAUGUACAGUUCAAGGGGCGUUUACUAGACAAGGCAUUUUGGAAAAGAGAACUAAAAAAAAAACCCAUGAAAAAUUUCUGAUUUUUCUUUUUUUUUUAUUUUCAAAUGGUAUGCAAAACACCUUGGCAUUACUUAAUUCAAUUAUGAUUUAUGCCACCAGCCUUGAUAGAAGUGUAGUGCUGCCCAUACCGUGCCCCUAACGUGAAAAGUUAUACAUGGACUCAGCCUACACGCCUGGAAGGCAGCCAUUCUGGGAAUAAUUAUACAUAUGACUCAACACACAUUCUCAGCUAUUAAUAUGUUUACAGAAGCUGACCUGACAUUGUCUAAAAUUAUUGCAGGGUAAUUUUACUCUUACUAAUUGCAUGGUCUAAAACCAAAUUGCUUUUUCUUUUGUUAGUUUUUGAAUAAUAAUAAAAGGAUCCAUUUCCUUAAUGGACAUUAAUAGUAAUUAUUUGUCCAAAAAGUAUGUUGGAUUGCCCUUUAAAGUCUUUGCCAGAAGCAAAUGCAAUUUAAAGUAUUCUGUGGUCAUCAGAUGAAUCCAAUUCACAGAUAAUUUAAAUAUUUGGUGAAAUUACAAUAAAUGUCUAAAGUAAAAGUUUUUAUGUUUCUUGUUAAAUUUGUCUGUCAUUUAAAAAGAAAUGUACCUAAUUCCAAAAAUUAUUUUUCAUGCAUGGUAUUAACAUAUCAGAUUUCACUAAAAAUAAAAGGGUUCCAGUAGCAACACUGAGAAUUCCAAGUUGCCUUCAUUACAUGCAUAUGUACAGUCUUAACUUUGAUCAAGUUCAAAAGGCAAAAUAGGGUAUGAUCCUGGGGAAUUUGUGUUUUCCCUCUCUGAAAUACCAUAGGAUGUGAAGCUUAUUUAGGUGUCCUCCAGGGCCAAGAUCCUGCUCUUGGGCAGCACCUCCAGAAUCCUCUGCUCCAGAGAAGAAGUUUGCAACUCCAUGUCCAGGAUAAUUCCCUGCACGAGUGUUGUAAUGAGGGAGGACAGACCUAGUGUGCAAAAAGUUACAUGGAAGGGGGAUCCUCCCUCACCAGAGGCACACAGUGAACAAAAAGGAUAAAUCAGCACCUGAAAGCCUGCACAAAACACCUGAACAACCGUAGGCAGGGUAAUCUACUACUGAGCUGCAGUGUUGGCAGCUGGCUCCGUGUCAGGCCGUCCUUCCACCCACUGAUUUAAUCACCUGGCUGAGGAAGCUUAGCCUCUAACAUGGGCUGUGAAGCCUGGCUUCACACGCCUUUCCCAUUGAAAAUCCAAGGGGUUGUUUGCAAAAGCUGUGUCCUGCAGCCAAAUCAAUUCCUGCCAGAGUUAGAUUUAAGAACAUUGUUUCUCUUGCUGACUGCUCACCAGAAGCCUAAGACCCAGGUGACUAAGAACCCCAAAGGCUUUAUCACUGAUGCUCCGUCACACAUGGUGACUUUUUCCAGUGACAGACUUUUGGCUUUUUCCUGGUAUUUGGUCUCUGAUACUACAGCAAAGAUACCAUUGUGGUGUCCACCUAUCUCAGAGUCAAAUAUUAAUACCCUUUCUACUCAAGACAGGGAGUAGCAGAAUCACUUGUAGAGGAGUGUGUUUAUUGAAGUGCCAAAUAUGGAUCUCAGCAAUUCAUUCUAAGUGAAUCAGUAUUCACAUCUCUUGGAAAUACUUUGCUUAUUUAACCUUUGUACACAAAGUGUAUUAUGGAGCGCUUACAAUCCAUUAUGUCAAUCACCUUUAUAAUGUUAUGAUUGUUUUGGGGGUUUUUUUGCAACUGCACAAAAAACAGGUUCACAAAUAAAAGCUGCUUGCAGUUGAGGUUGGGGCAAGCUGUCUGAUUUCUUCUAUGUCACUGCUCUUGUGUCAUGUCACCACAACAUGCCUUCACUGGUACAUAAGGUUAUCAUCUAAUAGCUGACACUUAACUGCAGUUCCUGCUUGUGUCCACUUAAUAUUUUUGUCUCAUUCAUAGUUAUAAUUAUUAUGACAAGUACAAGUUGUUCUGCAGUGACAGCACUGUUUUUUUUCGUGGCAGUGUUUAUUUAGUUAGAAUAUGGCAGUAGCUGUGUCACGUCCAUAGCACAGGAAAUCAAAGUCAUUGAUAAACAUAACUCACUUCAGCAAAAUAAUGCUAUAACAAAAUAAAAUAGUAUGUAAUGUACGAAGCAGUUAAAGGCACCAAUACAGAUGUCUUUUUUGAAGAAUCUAUUUCUGCAGCAAGGAAAAAAAUAAUAAAUAUAUAUGUAUAUAUA